rnacentral:rRNA from 1 species
GUGAGAUUCCUGCACCCGUAAUGAACAGAACUGUAGUGACACGGAAGGUAAGACAGAGCCGGGAAUGAGAAAACCGGUGCAAGCACAAUAGAUGUGCGGGAGGAAAACCCCCGCAUAAGUCGAAGGUGUGAUGCGGACCGAAAAAGAGUAGGGAAGCUGUUAAGCAAGCCGUCAAGAAAAGCUGCUAUUGUUUCAUUAUGGCCCGUACCGUAAACCGACACAGGUGGAUGGGGAGAGAAUCCUAAGGCCGGCGGAAGAAGUAUUGUUAAGGAACUCGGCAAAAUGACCCCGUAACUUCGGGAGAAGGGGUGCCUGCGAGAGCAGGCCGCAGAGAAGAGGCCCAAGCAACUGUUUAGCAAAAACACAGGUCUAUGAAAAACCGAAAGGUGAGGUAUAUGGGCUGACGCCUGCCCGGUGCUGGAAGGUUAAGGGGAGUGGUCAGGAAACGAAGCCACGAACUUAAGCCCCAGUAAACGGCGGCCGUAACAAUAACGGUCCUAAGGUAGCGAAAUUCCUUGUCGGGUAAGUUCCGACCCGCACGAAAGGCGUAAUGAUUUGGGCGCUGUCUCGACAAUACAUCCGGUGAAAUUGAAGUGCCAGUGAAGAUGCUGGCUACCUGCGCCAGGACGGAAAGACCCCAUGGAGCUUUACUCCAGCUUGAUACUGGGACCCGGUAUUGCAUGUACAGGAUAGGUGGGAGGCUAGGAAAUGUGGACGCCAGUCUGCAUGGAGCCGCUGUUGGGAUACCACCCUUGUGGUGCUGGGUUUCUAACCAGAGGCCGUGAACCGGUCUGGGGACAAUGUCAGGUGGGGAGUUUGACUGGGGCGGUCGCCUCCGAAAGGGUAUCGGAGGCGCCCAAAGGUUCCCUCAGAAUGGUUGGAAACCAUUCGAAGAGUGCAAAGGCAGAAGGGAGCUUGACUGCGACACCGACGGGUGGAGCAGGUACGAAAGUAGGGCUUAGUGAUCCGGUGGAAUUUAAGUGGGAAUGCCAUCGCUCAACGGAUAAAAGCUACCCUGGGAUAACAGGCUGAUCACUCCCAAGAGUUCACAUCGACGGAGUGGUUUGGCACCUCGAUGUCGGCUCAUCGCAUCCUGGGGCUGAAGUCGGUCCCAAGGGUUGGGCUGUUCGCCCAUUAAAGCGGUACGCGAGCUGGGUUCAGAACGUCGUGAGACAGUUCGGUCCCUAUCCGGCGUGGGCGUAGGAUAUCUGAGAGGAGCUGUCCUUAGUACGAGAGGACCGGGAUGGACUGACCUCUGGUGUACCGGUUGGCGAUCAACGCCACGGCCGGGUAGCCAUGUCGGGACGGGAUAAACGCUGAAGGCAUCUAAGCGUGAAGCCCCCCUCAAGAUGAGAUAUCCCAUUCGAAAGAAGUAAGACCCCUUGAAGACGACGAGGUUGAUAGGGCAGGGGUGGAAGUGCUGUAAGGCAUGGAGCUGACUGCUACUAAUCGGUCGAGGGCUUGACC